rnacentral:rRNA from 1 species
CCUACGGGGUGCUGCCGUGAGGAAUAUUGGUCAAUGGGCGCGAGCCUGAACCAGCCAAGUAGCGUGAAGGAUGACUGCCCUACGGGUUGUAAACUUCUUUUAUAAAGGAAUAAAGUGAGGCGCGUGUGCCUUUUUGUAUGUACUUUAUGAAUAAGGAUCGGCUAACUCCGUGCCAGCAGCCGCGGUAAUACGGAGGAUCCGAGCGUUAUCCGGAUUUAUUGGGUUUAAAGGGAGCGUAGAUGGGUUGUUAAGUCAGGUGUGAAAGUUUGCGGCUCAACCGUAAAAUUGCAAUUGAUACUGGCAGCCUUGAGUACAGUUGAGGGAGGCGGAAUUCGUGGUGUAGCGGUGAAAUGCGUAGAUAUCAUGAAGAACUCCGAUUGCGAAGGCAGCUUACUAAACGGCCACUGACAUUGAUGCUCGAAAGUGUGGGUAGCAAACAGGAUUAGAUACCCGGGUAGUC